GGUUGAUAUUUUUCGGGACCAAGAGACUAACCUGAUUGACGUGACUUUAUCGUUUUAUGAUGUUUGGAUUGUCUGGAUCGCUCGCUUUGUUUAGGUCUGGACGCAGUUUUGGGAAUUGUGUAUCACAAUUGUAUGUUUGAGUUGGAUCAAACAUUAUCAAGAUGUAGUUAAGUGUGAGUAGAACGUGAAUGAAGUGUGAUUGGAAGAUCCUGACUUGUGAUCCUGACUCUAUUUAUAAUUUAAACAGAAUAAAAU
rnacentral:lncRNA from 1 species